rnacentral:lncRNA from 1 species
CAGACGCCAAGCUAAGCAGGGCAUCAGGAGAGUCAUGGUCUUCUCUGUGGUUCAGUCGUAAAUGGACACACUUCUUGGUCACUCCUGGGAGAAAGAUUUCACCAGCUUUUCAGUCUUCCAAUAUUUAACAGUUGGCCAAAAGUUCCAUCUUUGGACAGAGGGGGAGCUCAUGGACACAAUGGCUGCUGGGGCUGCAGGAGUGGAUCACUCUCCUAAGGCUGGGGUGGGAACGUCCAGCAAAGCCUCUUGUGUCCCU